UACGAAGGGGGCGAGCGUUGUUCGGAAUUACUGGGCGUAAAGGGUGCGUAGGCGGUUUGGUAAGUCUUGUGUGAAAUCUCCAGGCUCAACUUGGAGUCUGCACGAGAAACUGCCGGGCUUGAGUGUGGGAGAGGUGAGUGGAAUUCCUGGUGUAGCGGUGAAAUGCGUAGAUAUCAAGGAGGAACACCUGUGGCGAAAGCGGCUCACUGGACCACAACUGACGCUGAUGCACGAAAGCCAGGGGGAGCAAACAGG
rnacentral:rRNA from 1 species